AGGGUCUCGCCAGCAGCCGGUGGCACAUGCGGGCGGCACGGGGGCUGCGUGGUGGCCUCUGUGAUGUCACCUGGCAGAGGGUCGACCAGGGAGCACAGAGCCCUGAACAUCCCUUCAACAGCGCGCCACACGCUCCUGGCACAAACUCCAGACCACGGCACAGCACCCAGAUGGCUGCAGCCACGCAGAAACCCACAACUGCCAGGACCGUGGGGUGACAGCCACGGUGGGCUCUGCAGGCCCCUCUGGUCUAAGACACCAGGAGGCCACAUCCAGCAACCAAGGCCACCCGGCAGGACACGUCAGGAUGGAGGUGCAGUGAAGACUGCGGUGGACGCCUCCAGAGGUUCCCACUUGGCUUCCAGUGGAGCCUCUGCCAAACCCGGCCUGUGCAAGGGCAGAGACAAGGCCCAGCAGGGCUCGAGCAGGCCCAAACGCACGACGCAGCUGCUGUGCCUGGGUCUGAGCUGCACCCACAGUUUUCCUGGCGUCUUGUCCUCUGGAUGGGCCUCUGGAUGAACAUAAACUCCAGGGAAGCUGCAUAGAAUAUGCAGCUCUUCUUUAACGCUCCCUAGAGGAAGAAAGCCCCUCAGCCGGAAGUAUUGUUGACGUCGCCGCCACUACUAAUGAAAUAUUUACUGAAAAGCCAAA
rnacentral:lncRNA from 10 species